UACAGAGGGUGCGAGCGUUGUCCGGAAUCACUGGGCGUAAAGGGCGCGUAGGUGGCUCGGUAAGUGUGCGGUGAAAGUCCGGGGCUCAACCCCGGAUCUGCCGUGCAGACUGCCGAGCUCGAGCAUAGUAGAGGCACGUGGAAUUCCGGGUGUAGCGGUGGAAUGCGUAGAGAUCCGGAAGAACACCGGUGGCGAAGGCGGCGUGCUGGGCUAUUGCUGACACUGAUGCGCGACAGCGUGGGGAGCAAACAGG
rnacentral:rRNA from 1 species